rnacentral:rRNA from 2 species
UCCUACGGGGGGCUGCAGUGGGGAAUAUUGCACAAUGGGGGAAACCCUGAUGCAGCGACGCCGCGUGAGUGAAGAAGUAUUUCGGUAUGUAAAGCUCUAUCAGCAGGGAAGAUAAUGACGGUACCUGACUAAGAAGCCCCGGCUAACUACGUGCCAGCAGCCGCGGUAAUACGUAGGGGGCAAGCGUUAUCCGGAUUUACUGGGUGUAAAGGGAGCGUAGGCGGUCCAAUAAGUCUGGUGUGAAAGCCCGGGGCUCAACCCCGGGACUGCAUUGGAAACUAUCGGACUAGAGUGUCGGAGAGGUAAGUGGAAUUCCUAGUGUAGCGGUGAAAUGCGUAGAUAUUAGGAGGAACACCAGUGGCGAAGGCGACUUACUGGACGAUAACUGACGCUGAGGCUCGAAAGCGUGGGGAGCAAACAGGAUUAGAUACCCCUGUAGUCC